GAUGAACGCUAGCGGCAGGCUUAAUACAUGCAAGUCGUGGGGCAGCAGGACGGUAGCAAUACCGUUGCUGGCGACCGGCAAACGGGUGCGGAACACGUACACAACCUUCCUUUAAGUGGGGAAUAGCCCAGAGAAAUUUGGAUUAAUACCCCGUAACAUGGUGAAAAGGCAUCUUUUUAUCAUUAUAGCAGCAAUGCGCUUAAUGAUGGGUGUGCGGCUGAUUAGGUAGUUGGCGGGGUAACGGCCCACCAAGCCUUCGAUCAGUAACUGGUGUGAGAGCCAGACCGGUCAAACGGGAACUGAGACACGGGCUCGACUCCUACGGGAGGCAGCAGUAAGGAAUAUUGGGCAAUGGAGGCAACUCUGACCCAGCCAUGCCGCGUGGAGGAUGAAGGUCCUCUGGAUUGUAAACUUCUUUUAUAUGGGACGAAAAAAGGGUUUUCUAACUCGACUGACGGUACCAUAUGAAUAAGCACCGGCUAACUCCGUGCCAGCCGCCGCCGUAACAC
rnacentral:rRNA from 1 species